ACACACACACACACACACACACACCUGUUACUUGGAAGUGUGAUGUAAGGUCCAGAACCACCCUUUUUAUUUGAUAUAAAUAUGAGAGAAUGCAGCUUCUGUCUCAUCCAUAACACAAGAGAUCUUUUAAAGAAGACAUUUUUUUGCUACCUGCAUUAUCAGUUCCUUGUUAAGAACAAGAUCAUGUCAUACCUGGCCAAUGUUGUUGAAGUUGGUGGAACUGGAGGAGCUCCUUUCAAUUUUAAUGACACUCAAAAUGGAUCCAUAUUGCAAAAGAUCUAUGUUUGGGUCUGUGAAGAUACGGUGAAAGCCAUUAAAGUGUGUCUUACUGAUGGCUAGUUCAAACAAUUUGGUGUUUCUGCUGGGAAUCUGCAAGAGUUUACAUUUAUAGGUGGAGAGCAUUUCACCUCCCUUUCACUUUGGCCAAAUCAAAAUAACACACGUCUGGGUGCGAUAAAAUUCACGACAAGUCACUCCCGGAAUUUCCAUGCAAGCUUGACAAAUCAGAGGCUGCAACCAGAAGUUAGAGUUGAUAUUGCCUCUGGGAUCUGCAUGGGAAUCAAAGGAUGUUCAGGGAGUGAUGUGGAUCGCUUAGGCUUUAGGUUUGUCAAGAAUUUUUAAAAUUCGUAAAAGUUUUAAAAGCAGUGGAACCUACAAUGGUGUCGCUUACACUGUUGGAAAUGUGGUUGUCAAUUAAUCAAACAUCUUAAUCAAUCUCAUAUAUUAAAUCAUUUUAAUCAAUGUUUCUGUUUGAAGUCAGCUUAGUUUGUUUGUUUUAAUAUUAGCUUCUCAUAAUAAUGAUUCUUUUUUUUUUUCUUUCAAAUCUGUUAACCAAUGAUUUGAUUUAUUUUGCUGGUUCAGACAAUUUAUUCUGUUAGUCUACCAGUGAUGCAAGACUAAGACACAGUUAAGAUUAAUUAAACAUUCUUUACAAAUAAUUCUGAGUAAUGAACAAAACAUCUCAUUUGGUGAUUUUUAGAUCUAAUUUGACUAAUAUGGAAUGCUAUAUGGAACAAUUUGAUUAUUUUCUUUUGACAUGUUCUGUCAGAAUUGUUGCACUUUGCACGCUUUGGCCACGUGCUUUUGUUCUGUGUCACGUGUCUGCCCCGCCCUUGUCUCUUCUCCCCUGCCACUACACACCUGUUCCUCAUGUGUUAAUUGUGUUGUGUAUUAAACCAUGCCACGUUGCCUAGGUCGGCGUGAAAUCCCCUUCCUUUGUCAUGUCAUUUGUCAA